rnacentral:rRNA from 1 species
AGAGUUUGAUCUUGGCUCAGGAUGAACGCUAGCGGCAGGCCUAACACAUGCAAGUCGAGGGGCAGCAUGUCCAGCAAUGGAUGAUGGCGACCGGCGGAAGGGUGCGUAACGCGUGAGCAACAUGCCCUAUACAGGGAGAUACACCAGGGAAACUUGGUCUAAUAUCCCAUAGCAUUCAUUGAAGGCAUCUUUAAUGAAUUAAAGCUUCGGUGGUAUAGGAUUGGCUCGCGUGACAUUAGCCAGAUGGUGAGGUAACGGCUCACCAUAGCAAUGAUGUCUAGGGGUUUUGAGAGGAAGGCCCCCCACACUGGGACUGAGACACGGCCCAGACUCCUACGGGAGGCAGCAGUGAGGAAUAUUGGACAAUGGAUGGAAAUCUGAUCCAGCCAUGCCGCGUGCAGGAAGACGGCCUUAUGGGUUGUAAACUGCUUUUAUACGGGAGCAAUAAGGGUUACGAGUAAUCCGAUGAGAGUACUGUAUGAAUAAGGAUCGGCUAACUCCGUGCCAGCAGCCGCGGUAAUACGGAGGAUCCGAGCGUUAUCCGGAAUUAUUGGGUUUAAAGGGUGCGUAGGCGGCCAUUUAAGUCAGCGGUGAAAUUUUGCAGCUUAACUGUAACAGUGCCGUUGAUACUGUUUGGCUAGGAUUUGGUUGUAGUGUGCGGAAUGUGUGGUGUAGCGGUGAAAUGCUUAGAUAUCACACAGAACACCGAUUGCGAAGGCAGCACACUAAGUCAUUAUUGACGCUGAGGCACGAAAGUGUGGGGAUCAAACAGGAUUAGAUACCCUGGUAGUCCACACUGUAAACGAUGAUAACUCGCUGUCGGCGAUACACAGUCGGGGCCAAGCGAAAGC